rnacentral:rRNA from 1 species
CCUACGGGAGGCUGCAGUAGGGAAUCUUCCGCAAUGGACGCAAGUCUGACGGAGCAACGCCGCGUGAGUGAAGAAGGUUUUCGGAUCGUAAAACUCUGUUGUUAGAGAAGAACAAGUGCUAGAGUAACUGUUAGCGCCUUGACGGUAUCUAACCAGAAAGCCACGGCUAACUACGUGCCAGCAGCCGCGGUAAUACGUAGGUGGCAAGCGUUGUCCGGAUUUAUUGGGCGUAAAGCGAGCGCAGGCGGUUCCUUAAGUCUGAUGUGAAAGCCCCCGGCUCACCCGGGGAGGGGCAUUGGAAACUGGGGAACUUGAGUGCAGAAGAGGAGAGUGGAAUUCCAUGUGUAGCGGUGAAAUGCGUAGAUAUAUGGAGGAACACCAGUGGCGAAGGCGACUCUCUGGUCUGUAACUGACGCUGAGGCUCGAAAGCGUGGGUAGCAAACAGGAUUAGAUACCCUGGUAGUC